GGCACGAUGGCCGAGUGGUUAAGGCGACAGAUUCGAAUGGUGGAUAAUCGAUUUGUGCGAUCUGUUCCGGUUUCCGGGCGCAGGUUCAAAUCCUGCUCGUGUCG